rnacentral:rRNA from 1 species
AUGGAGAUGAAACACAAAAGAUUUUCGUUGGGGCGUAACCCUCUCAGCGACGCGCCACAUCGGAACCCCGGUGUGGUGGAAAAUGGGCAAGGGCCGGGCCGUCACCCCCCAGGUGGCGCAGCGUAUCUUGAUCCGGAUACGGUGGCAAGUGAGCGAGGAUCGGGUCGUCGCAUCCUUAGUGGCGCGCUACAUCGGUGCCCGGAUGUAGUGGAAAAUGAGCAAGGGUCUUCGCAUUUGAUUCGACGAGUGCAAAGGGUAAGGAAGCUAGCCGAGCCUAGGAGGAUUCGCUUAGGUAGCUGGAACGUAGAGUCUCUGACAGGGAAGCUUCGGGAGCCAGUUGAUGCAGCGGUGAGGAGAGGUGUUGAUAUCCUUUGCGUCCAAGAAACCAAAUGGAGAGGACAGAAGGCGAAAGAGGUGGAGGAUACUGGCUUCAAGCUGUGGUACACGGGGACGGCUGCAAACAGAAAUGGCGUAGGCAUCUUGAUCAACAAGAGCCUCAAGUAUGGAGUGGUAGACGUCAAGAGACGUGGGGACCGGAUUAUCCUGGCCAAGCUGGUAGUUGAGGACUUGGUUCUCGAUGUUAUCAGCGCGUAUGCCCCGCAAGUAGGCCACAAUGAGAACACCAAGAGGGAGUUCUAG